UGCGAGACCGAUAGCGAACAAGUACCGUGAGGGAAAGAUGAAAAGAACUUUGAAAAGAGAGUUAAAGAGUACCUGAAACUGUUGAAAGGGAACCGUAUCGUUCCUAGUGUGUAUCCUAUGCAUAUUUCAUUGGCGGUUGUAAAAUUGCUGGUGCCCUGUGUAUGGGUGUGACGUCCGAGUCGGUUUGAAUUGCGGGAGAUGGGUAGUGAGGAGGUGCGUCACUUUUUGUGAAAGUUACAGCUCGCUAUCUAGUAGCCGUGGUUGAGACUGAGGUGCC
rnacentral:rRNA from 1 species